GGUUCUACCUUGUGAGGCAACAAGUUCGGGUGCAAAUACUAUUGAUUAUCCAUUUAUUAUCAAACUGUAAAAUAUAUCUAUUAUAUAGUGCAGCAUAGGUUUAAGAUGAAGAGACAAAAAUCGAUUCUGAUCGGCUGUUGAGAGGAAAUCUGAGAACUCGAGGAACAAGAUCUGAGUUGUUAGGGUUUUGAGAAUUCCUAGUAACCGCUUGCCCUUGGUUGUACUGUGCCGUUGUACGAUAGUGCUCCUUCAUAGGGGCUCGCAGCAUUUGUUUCUACAAUCUGGAAUUGCUCUCCGUGGCUCUUCUGUUCGUCAGGAGCUUCUGUGGCACACGUUCGGGAGAUCGUUUGUGGCCAGUCCGAUGCGAUGAGCGUUGCAUCCUUUCAUCCCUUCUUCGACGUCGUUGCAUGCUUGCUGUAUGGUGUUGCUUCGACGGCUUUGUUGACUUGCUUUAGGGUGCGAAGCGAAUCGAAAGGGCUCGAUAUGUGAGGUCGCAACUCUUGCGACACGCUUGUGUAUGUAGAUCUUCCUCUUCUUGAAAAUCCCACAUCAUUAAUUAGACAACUACUUGAUGGAAAAGAUGAAUAAAGCAAGGAGUUUCGGAAGAUUAUUCAACAAUUUAAUUUUGCACAUGCAUUUACAUCUUUUGUAUUGCAAGAACAUGGUCCGUAUGGCUUUUGCAUAUAUGGAGAGCUCCCGCAUCAAAUCAAAUGGGCACUUUCUUACCAAAUCAAGGUAUAGAAGCAAGUUAUAUGCAACUUUACAUUUACAAUCUUGAUAUUGCACAUGAAGUAAGGAUGGCAUGUAUUUGAAAUUUAUCAGUUCAAACAAUAUCAGAGUUUCAAGAAUUUUAACGAGAACAUCAUGUGUUUGUUCUACUUUGUUGAUAUUUAGGGAAUAUUUAGCUCAUGAAAUAUUCCCUAAAGCUAGAGAAAGAAGAAAAAAAGAGAAAGAAGUCAUAAUAUAUGCAUACAUCUUCACUUUAGUACAAAUUUCUACAAAAGAUAUUAUAAUCAUCCAACUUCUAAUAAAGUUCUUGUUUUGUCACACAAUGGAAUAAAAAAAGAAAGGAUAAAAGAUAUAAUUGUUUGAUAAUGAAGAGGUGUAUUGCAACAAAUUCAUAAAAGUCAUCUUACAUACUUGCCACUCUAUUAUGUUAUUUUUUUCUCUAAUGAGAACAUAAAUGACAUGACCAAAUGUGACGUAGAAAUAUGAAUGCCAAUGAAGAUGGAAGUGAUAAUAUGUGAAUUACACAUGUUAUUCAAAUAGAGUUUUUUACGUAUCAAUAGUUUCUACAAUAUAAUGAAUACUCAACUAUCUUACAAGGUAGAAAGUUGUUACAAGAAUUUAUUGUGGAUAUAUAGGCAAUAUUAGAGAAAAAUCACUUGAAAUAUUUGAAUAUGAAUCAAGAUAGAUUGUAUAUAAAUAUAUAUUAAGGAUUAAUAGAUAUUAUUGGAGAUGUAUAAAACCAAGUUAUCAUGCAAAAUUCAAAAUAGAGGAUAAUUCUUUCA